rnacentral:lncRNA from 1 species
GCAAGUUGCAGAAAAUGACACAAAAUCAUGACACUUUUAUAAAGCUCAAAUGAGUAAAUUAAACAAUAUUUUGUUUAGAGAUGCAUAUGAAAAAACAACCUAUUUUUAAAAAUCAAGGGGGAAUUCCCAUCGUGGCCCAGUGGUGAGGAACCCUACUAGUAUUCAUGAGGUCUUAGGUUCGAUCCCUGGCCCUGCUCAGUGGGUUAAGGAUCCGGUGUUGCUGUGAGUUGCAGUGUAGGUUGCAGAUGCAGUUCAGAUCUGAUGUUGCUGUGGCUGUGGUGCAGGCUGGCAGCUGCAGCUCCGAUUCGACUCCUAGCCUGGGAACUUUCAAAUGCCGCAGGUGCGGCUCUAAAAAGCAAAAAAGCAAAAAAGCAAAAAAAAAAAAAAAAAAAUCAAGAAAAUGAUCAAUAUCAACUUCAAGAUAGCAUUACCUCUGGUGAGUAGGUAGGAUAAAAUAGAAAAAAGGCAUACAGGUGAAUGUAUCAAUAGGCAAUUUUCUAGUUCUCAAGUUGGAUGGUUUGUUUCCAGUUGUUUAUUUUAAUGUUGCAUUUAUUAUUUUGAUGUAUCAAAUAAUGCUCGGUAUAUGAUUAAAAAGUGGCCUGUAGUUUCUUCCUUUCACCACUACAUGGCAGGCAAGUCCUUCAGUAAAGUAACUCUUGACUGGGAAAGGAAAAUGGAACUGUACCUAAUGGCUGUGUUCUAGUAGCGUUCAGUUUCCCCUACAGGAGCAUAUGUAAAACAGGGCUUUUUGUUCUGAGUGUUUACAUGCAUAACCAGGGCAGUUCAGGGGCACCUUACUCUGACGUGGAUCUUGCAGCCCUGUGGCCAGGUUUGGUUUUUUUUUUUCCCUUUCUUUUUGCCUAUGUAACCAUCUUUGCAAACUUAAAAGUAUAUCUGCUUAAAUGCUGAUUUUUAUUUCUCAGAACUUUUCAAUUAUUUUCCAAGGUGUUCAUUCCUAAAAUAACAACAUGGAACAUGCGGUUGGUUAUUUGGCUUCUUUCUUGGCAAUGGACACAUCUAAAUUCUCCUUCUAAUGUGUAUUGACUACUGGCUGUUUUUGCUGUUUGUUAGUGUUUUUUUGGCUAUGCCCAAGGCAUGUGGAAGUUCCUGGGCCAGGGAUCGAAUCUGUGCCACAGCAGCGACCCAAGCCACUGCAGUGACAAUGCCAGAUGAUUAGGGACUGUUUUGUACCAUUAGCAUUAUAACCACUGUAUAAUGAAUUCUGGCUGGCACUGUUACAUACAGGAAUAUUUUAAAUUUGGUAGCAAUGAUAAAAUAGCAAUACCAUAGUCACAAUCAUCAUUACAAUCACUCACAGGAAUUCUGGUGCCAAAUUUCACCAGUCACAGGAAGGGACUGACAAACAUUGGUAGGUAUUUCUGUUUCAGCAGCAUAUGUUAUGUCACCAAGUGGCAAUAGCACAAACCUUUCUCCAGCCACCCACUUCCAUUUUCAUGCUCUAGACCUGCCCUGUCCACUCCAUCAGCCAUUAGCCACAUGCAGCAACUGAGUACUUGGAACUAGAUAUUUCCUAAACUAUACACCAGAUUUUGAGGACUUAGUAUGAAGAGAAAAAGUAAAAUGUCUCGGUAAUUUUAAUAUUGAUUGCAUGUUGAGAUGAUAACAUUUUGGAUGUGUUAGGGUAAAUAAAAUAUAUUAAAAUUAAUCUCAGCUGGUUCUUCCUACCUUUUUAAUUGGCUACUAGCACAUUUAAAAUUACAUACGUGGAUCGCAUGUGUGUCUCACAUUUUAUUUCUAUUGGACAGUGCAGCUCUAGAGGUUAUCAACACUUGUGAUCCUCACCUACCAAAGUCGGCUUCAUUGGUGUGUGGCUGAUGCAGUCAACACAGGGAGCCCCCAUCUUCACAAGUGCUUCGCCUUUGAUUUAAUUCUCUGCUGUAACUGCCCUGAAAUCCUUAAUUGCUAUUUUUGAAUUUGCGUUUUAGAAGGAAAGCUCCCAGAACAAUGGAAUAUGCGCUGGGGGGGCUGAAAGCCUUGGUUCAUGCGUCUUCACGCCUUCAGUCAACUCCCGGUGUCCCUGCUCCUGCCCCGCGACUGCUGCCACCUUUGGUCUGCGUCACGGUUUUGGGCGCGGUUGUGGGAAAGGUCAGGGGUGUGAUGGUGGCUAUCCCGUCUCCGGGCUGACUGUGCAGGGUCUCUCGCCCACCUUGACCCAGGGGCGAGAGCGCCACCAACGCCGAGGUCGCAGAACCCUUGGGAGUCGCCUGUCUGCCCUGGUUUGGGGGGGUGGGAUCUGGGGAAGGAGAGACACCUGGCCUGACGUCGCUAGACUCCUCCCACCAGGGCGCGGCGCUGUGGUCAGCUGCAGACGGGGACCGGACCCUGCAGCCCGAAGGGCUGAGCUCACUCGCAGCCUCGGGAAGGGAUGCGCGCCAACGCGCAGCGGAAAGACGCUUGGCUAAAGCGCCUGAGAGCAUCGGGAGCGCGCCCUAGUCUGGCUCCAACCUUGAGGGAGAAUUGCGAGGACCGUUUCCUCCUUCCAGUCUUCUGUUUGUUUCUUCUGGACAGCUCAAGGCACCCCCUGGGGACAAAACGUAACUCACAAAUUGUGUAAUUUCUGUAAUUGAUUCCACGGGAGUCACUAUGACGAUUGAAAUACUGUGAUAUUUGCAUUUAGAACUGCCCUUGCACAAUAGAAAGAUGAAUGGUAAAAUUCACACUAAUAAUUACAACUUAAAAUUGUAAUUCACUUUACAUUUUUAAAUGAUUAAAAAAUUGAAGUUAAAUUGUGGCAAAAUAGACAAGGUAAAAUUUACCAUCUUAAUUAACCAUUUUAAUUGUAUAGCUCAGGAGUGUCAGGUAUUUACAUUGCUAUGCAGCCAAUCUCCAGAACUUUUCCAUCUUGCAAAACUAAAGCUCUACCUGUCAAACAUCAACUCUCCAUUUCUUACCCUGGCAACCACCAUUCUACUCUCUGUUUCUAUGACUUUGACUGAAAUCAUGGAGCCUUUGUCUUUUUACAACUGGCUAUUUCACUUAGCAUAAUGUCUUCAAGUUUCAUCUAUGUUGUAGUGUGUGUCAGAAUGUCCUUCCUUGUUAAGAUCGAAUAAUAUUCCACUGUAUGCAUAUUUUAUUUAUCCAUUCAUCCUUCAAUGGGCAUAUGGAUUGCUUCCACUUUUUGGCUACUGUGAAUAAUACUGCUAUUAAACUAUGUAUAAAUAUCUUUCCAUUUUUUUGCUAAAAUAAGACUGCAAUGGAUACCUUUGUACACAUAGCACUUUGCAUACCUGUAAAUGUAUCUGUAGGGUAAAUUCCUGAAAGUAAAAUUGUCGGGUCAAAGGAAACGUGUAAAUAUUGCCAAAUUGCUGUCCAUAGAUGUUGAACCAUUUUACACAGCCUCACAAACACUGUAUGUUUUCAGACUUUUGAUCUUUGACAAUAUGAUAGAUUAAAAGUGGUAUUUACAU